CAUGUCCCAGCUUCUGCUUUCUCUUCCCCAGCUAGAUCUUCUUGGAUGUAUUCCACCACGGUUCCCUUCCUUCACUGCAGUCAUUACAUCUGGGGAUACUUCACUUAAUUCACCAUCCUUUAUGUUCAUGCGAUCAUUGUUUGUGAGUUGCCCUUCACCAUGAUCAGCCAUAGCACCCAUAUCUCCCCAAACCGUUUUCCUUCCCAUUUCUAUGUCAUCCACAGCUUUCCCCAUAUUAGGACUCAUGAAACCUCCACCAAUUGGUCGAGUUGGUAAAGGUUCUCUUGGUACCUUUGCCCCGAAAUUGUUCUUGGAAGGAGGAAUACUGGAGCAAAAGAUUUCUUUAAAGUUCUCAACCACGCCUUUAUUAUAGGGAUUUGCUCUCCUAUCAUAUCGGUAUCUAAAAUUCUCGUAAG
rnacentral:misc_RNA from 1 species